UUCGGGACAACUCUGGGAAACUGGAGCUAAUACCGGAUACGCCCUUUUGGGGAAAGGUUUACUGCCGAAGGAUCGGCCCGCGUCUGAUUAGCUAGUUGGUGGGGUAACGGCCUACCAAGGCGACGAUCAGUAGCUGGUCUGAGAGGAUGAUCAGCCACACUGGGACUGAGACACGGCCCAGACUCCUACGGGAGGCAGCAGUGGGGAAUAUUGGACAAUGGGCGCAAGCCUGAUCCAGCCAUGCCGCGUGAGUGAUGAAGGCCUUAGGGUUGUAAAGCUCUUUUAUCCGGGACGAUAAUGACGGUACCGGAGGAAUAAGCCCCGGCUAACUUCGUGCCAGCAGCCGCGGUAAUACGAAGGGGGCUAGCGUUGCUCGGAAUCACUGGGCGUAAAGGGCGCGUAGGCGGCGUUUUAAGUCGGGGGUGAAAGCCUGUGGCUCAACCACAGAAUGGCCUUCGAUACUGGGACGCUUGAGUCUGGUAGAGGUUGGCGGAACUGCGAGUGUAGAGGUGAAAUUCGUAGAUAUUCGCAAGAACACCGGUGGCGAAGGCGGCCAACUGGACCGGCACUGACGCUGAGGCGCGAAA
rnacentral:rRNA from 1 species